GAUGAACGCUGGCGGCGUGCCUAAUACAUGCAAGUCGAGCGAACAGAUGAGGAGCUUGCUCCUCUGACGUUAGCGGCGGACGGGUGAGUAACACGUGAAUAACCUACCUAUAAGACUGGGAUAACUUCGGGAAACCGGGGCUAAUACCGGAUAAUAUAUUGAACCGCAUGGUUCAAUAGUGAAAGACGGUUUUGCUGUCACUUAUAGAUGGAUCCGCGCCGCAUUAGCUAGUUGGUAAGGUAACGGCUUACCAAGGCAACGAUGCGUAGCCGACCUGAGAGGGUGAUCGGCCACACUGGAACUGAGACACGGUCCAGACUCCUACGGGAGGCAGCAGUAGGGAAUCUUCCGCAAUGGGCGAAAGCCUGACGGAGCAACGCCGCGUGAGUGAUGAAGGUCUUCGGAUCGUAAAGCUCUGUUAUUAGGGAAGAACAACUGUGUAAGUAACUAUGCACGUCUUGACGGUACCUAAUCAGAAAGCCACGGCUAACUACGUG
rnacentral:rRNA from 1 species